UUCCAAUUCCACGACCGAACUCCUCAAUCGGGUCAACACGCGGGUCUUGUACGGGUAAAAUCUCAAAAAUGGGUCAACUAUAAAAUUGAUGGAAAAAACUCAAACCUCGCUCUUCUCUUUCCAUUAUCAAUUGCCAUAUCUAAUGCUCUGUUGGAGCAUUCCUGCCGCCGCCUCCUCCACUUGUGCUGCCUUCACCCAUCACUUUUGCUGCCACCUCCACCCCUCCAUGCUCCACUCGCUGCCCAUUGCAUAACUCAGGUUGAAAUUGUGGGGUUUUAAUUAGUUUCUGUCAGUCUCCUCCUUCCCUUCCAGUGAAGCUACAUUAGAAGAAGUCGUCUUCGGCCCCUCCAAACUUCAUUCGCUUGCUUUGUAGUUCCAGAUCUUCAUCAAGUCAAGAAACCCCAGUUGCAAACAAUAAAUACCGCACUUGUACGGUUUACUCCAGGAUUGACCGAUACUUUAACCAAUACGGCAUGCCUGUGCAAUUUACUCCCUACUAUUCCAGAUUUUUCAGAUAGAAUUAGAGUUUAUAAAGCACUUGGAACUCUGUGCAGAAAGUGCAGAAAGCAUUAUUGCAGUCGGAUGUCCAUGCAAAAUCUGAUAAAAGUCCUGUAACAGUAGCUGUGUAGCACUUGGUGUAUGAUAAAAUUAGCGACGAGGUAUGUUAUAAACGGUAAUGACUUUUACUAAUAAUCCCACGAUUGAAUUUAUUACAGGGUAGUGGAGAGAGGUUUUCUCCAAUUAAAUGAAGCAGAGCCUGGUCUACUUGAACAAGAACUUAAACUAACUGCUUCUAGAGUAACAUCUGUGCAGUGUCUUGUUCUUUAAAGGAGGUGAGAUUAUUGUAUACUUGUUGUAGCAAAUUAGUGACCCCGUCAAAUUUCUUGGAAGGCGCUGAAUAUUAGAUGAGAAUGAUAUUAAGAAGCAAGAGGAAAAGCUAGAGGCAGGUGCUUCAUUUCUUGUGAAAAUGGUACAUUUGCUCUACAGCUAAAGCAAAAUGGUCAUUGUGUCCUUAUUCAAGUAUUAUUUGUCAAAGGAAAAUGGUCUUAAUUUAGCAUUGAGCUUAUGCAGUUUUACAGUCACCCUUACCUGGCAUGGAAACAUUGUGAACUGAUGGCCUGCGUAGGUCUGCAAGGAGGAGGAAAGUGGUGGUGCCUUGGUGUUUCAAUGUUGAAGUUGAUGGCUUGGUUCGUUUGUUUUGUGUUUUUGAAAUCCACAAUUGGUUGAAUUCUUGUCUUACCUUUGAAGCUAGAAAGGACUAUUACAAUUCAAAAGGGCUACCUUUCUCUUUGGCU